CCUACGGGAGGCAGCAGUGGGGAAUAUUGGGCAAUGGGCGCAAGCCUGACCCAGCAACGCCGCGUGAAGGAAGAAGGAUUUCGGGUUGUAAACUUCUUUUAAGCGGGAAGAGCAGAAGACGGUACCUCUUGAAUAAGCCACGGCUAACUACGUGCCAGCAGCCGCGGUAAUACGUAGGUGGCAAGCGUUGUCCGGCUUUACUGGGGGUAAAGGGCGUGCAGCCGGGAAGACAAGUCAGAUGUGAAAUCCCGCGGCUCAACCGCGGAACUGCAUUUGAAACUGUUUUUCUUGAGUACCGGAGAGGUCAUCGGAAUUCCUGGUGUAGCGGUGAAAUGCGUAGAUAUAAGGAAGAACACCAGUGGCGAAGGCGGAUGACUGGACGGCAACUGACGGUGAGGCGCGAAAGCGUGGGGAGCAAACAGGAUUAGAUACCCCUGUAGUC
rnacentral:rRNA from 1 species